UUCACGGAGAAUGCAUAUGGAUUGAAACUGAAGAGCUGGAAGGAGGACAUUACAACAUCUCUUAUAUUUGCAAGAUGAAGCAGAAAGUCCCAUGCAGGAUGAUGCCUCUCUACAGUGGAUGAUGAAGGCAUUCUGGUUUGCAAACUCAGGAGAGGAACAAAGAACAGAUGUUGACGGGAUCAUAUCUAGAGAUGCGGGCCUACUAC